UCCACCUCAUCUACUUUCAAAUACAGAACAGAUUAGUGGAAAUUAUUGUAAGUGAAUAUCCUGACUUUAGGUUCUACUUACAACAAGAAAUUAGUACUGCAAACGAGUAUCAAUCAAUAAAGAUUUACAUGAGUCGGCUUAUAGCCUGCAUCCCCAAGCACUUACUAUUGAGGAAGCUCUACUAAGAUGAAGUGAGAAUACUAAUAGAUGGUUCACUGUACAAAAAAGUCUCAGAAACCUUAAUUUGCCACCUCUAAGUAAGCACACCUCCAGGGAGGCUGAUUACCCAACACAUGCAUGAGAUAUGUGACAACCAAGUAGAUGUCAUCUCAACAGAGUCAGUAACUUAACCAUAAGCUUGCAAGACUAUACAGUUUUGUGUGGACUGACUUCAGCAGCCUCAGCAAAUGUGCACUUUAUACCGAUCGUUCUGAAAUGCUUUUUAGAUUGGUCUUAAGAUGUCCUUGUUGCAGCAUUUUCCCUGAUCUGAAUCCUUUAUCUUCCUCCCUCCCCGUGGCUACAGUCACAUACUUUCUUUGCCUGUAGCAGCCGUUGUUCCUUGUUCUUUUCCCCUGUAAAUGAAAAAGAAUUAUGAGUAGUGUUAUUUUAACAUAAUUUUGUUGUUCUAGUGAAUAACGUAAUAGCCUGAUAAUUACAUUGCUCCUCCAAAUGGAGGAGAUUCCUUGUU
rnacentral:lncRNA from 1 species